rfam:Triticum urartu cultivar G1812 contig696197, whole genome shotgun sequence.
AAUAUACUCCCUCGGUUCCGAAUUACUUGUCUUGGAUUUGUCUAGAUAAGGAUGUAUCUAGACUCAUUUAGAUACCUCCGUAUCUAGACAAAUCUAAGACAAGUAAUUCGAAACGGAGGAAGUAUCAG